CCCUUUACAGAUGUGGAAUGCUGAGGCUGAGAAAGGUUAAGGAGCCUGCCCAGGGUCAUGUGCUGAAGAAGUGGAGGAGCUGGAGCUGGGCUGGAGCUCAUGUCUGCAGUCUGUUCUGAGCCAAGACGAGCACUCAAGGUAGGGCAUCGAGCUGGAGGGGGAGGUACUGCCCGACGCCACCCACUGCCACUGCUGUUCCAGGCUGUGCUCACUCUGCCUCCCUGUCCGGCAUGUCUGUGCCUUCCCUGGGGCUGGAAGCAGGGUAUCUUAUGUGGCAAAAGCCUUCUUUCCAAAGCCUUAGAAAUAACAGUGUGUAGCCAAGCAUGGUGGCUCGCAAUCCAGUGCUUUGAGAGGCCACGGUCGGAGGAUUGCAUGAGGCCAGGAGUUUGAGACCAGCCUGGGCAACAUAAUGAGACCUUUUUAAAAAAUU
rnacentral:lncRNA from 1 species